rnacentral:ncRNA from 1 species
AAGCGAGGACGACCUCCCCAAUCGGAAAAACCAGCCGGGACGACCCGG